rnacentral:lncRNA from 1 species
UUUCACAUACUUUUGGAAUCACCUCAUUUGGAUUAUUGGUUGGAGAGAUGCAUUCAUCUAAAGUUGGUAUCAUAGGUUGAAUUUUUUGACAGCAUUUUGGCCAAACUGGCCCAACCAUUUUGCAGCCAUGAGACCUGAACUUCAUGGCUAUUUUCCAUCCCUUUCCAUUCAUCAUUUCAAGAUAUGUUCAACAUAGAAAAUUC